AUACACAAUAAAGCUAAUUAAUAUUAAUAGUAAUCUAAUGGUGCUAGAUUAAUCUGAUAGAUCCAACGGUGGAGGAUGGAUGGAGCUAACGGUCAUAUGGAAUUUAAUAUCUCUGCAGCUUUACCCAUCUUUCACAUUUUUCAUCGGAGAGGAGAGGACACACUUCUAGAGCGAGCAGAGUGGAGAGGGAGAGAGAGGGGGGAAAACAUUUUCCAUGGCUGUUGUUUGUCGUUUUUCAUGGCCGUUCAUCCAUUUCCGGUUCACGACAGAAUAAGCGAAUUGGUUUUAUUUUCCAAUUAUUUUUGUCGAUUGCUUCAGUUUUUUAAGCCUUCGGUUUCGCAGGUUCAAAUCGAACGCCAUUCUUGCUCAGAGUUUAUGGUUCUUCUUGUUGAAAGAGAGGAGGCCGGGAACCCUAAUUCGAUUACUCCAUGCCACCUUCGAGAUUCUGGAACUUGAGUUGAUAUACACAAUCGAACACACACUUAAGGAUUUGAUGCAAAUAAGAUGACAAGGGCAUCAUGGAUAGCCAUUAUUUUUGCAACUCUCUUGGCAGUACCACAAUCUUUGAUUAUUAUUUGAAAAGUGACAAAAGAUGGGAUUGAGUUAAGACUAAUAAUGUGGGUUUGCAACUUACUUGGUCAACUCACGCCCAAUCUCGCUUAUGAUAUGAGAAGAGGUGAAGAGGGGAUACAAGACAUGUUGACUCAUAAGAAAAAAAAAAACGAGGAAAACAGGACAAAGAGAGAAAAGAAAGGAAAAAAAAAAAAAAAAUGUCAAGAAGAAAAAGAAAAAACAGAAAAGCACCAAGAAAGUUCUGAAAAAAUCAAAAAGAUCAUGGAAAGAGAAGAAGAAAAAGGAAGGAAAAGAGAAGUCUACCUUGGCCUAACUCUAUGCAAUCUUUGGGUUGUUAUUCUAGAAUCAUCAAAGGAUGGGAUCGAAUUUACAGCUUGUUUGGUAAGUUGGUGACAUAAUUGUGGUUUCUCUUUUAUGUAAAAUACAUGACAAUGAAGCACUAGCCCUUGGUUUCCUCAUGAACAUUAAAGGCUUGGUGGAGCUCAUUGUCUGUAACAUUAGGAAAGACCGUGAGGUAUAUAACUAUACAACCAUCUAAUUAGUUUGAUGUUUUACCAUCACCUAAUGUCUCUUAUCUAAUUUUGCAUAUCUUGAUGGUCAAAUGUUUGCAAUCAUGGUGUGGAUGGCUUUAUUCAUUGCAAACUCUCGCAAACUAGAAGGUGUAUGAAGAUGUAAUCAGGAUGUUGACUGAAAAUAUAGGACAAAAAAUCUGAAAAGAACAGAAAAAAGGGAGGAAAAAAAGGGGGGGAAAAAAUUAUUCAAUUCAAAACUGUAUUUAUAUGGUUUGAAGAUAAUUAUUGUUUUGUUUGUUGUCUAAAUUUUAGCAGUUUAUUUUAACUUUUUCCAUUGCUAGGAGUUCAAUUGUUAUUUACUCUGUUUCAUGCCUGGCAAUUUUCUUGUUCUUUUGUAAUGCAAGCUGUGUUCCAUGUUCAAGAAAAUGUCAUAUUUAUUCCUCUUUUUGGGGUAUUUUGCUUGGAGUAUGAGUUUGUUUUUUGCUCUCUGCCUCACUCAGUUGUAUUCACUCAGACUUAGUCAUAAAUUGUAAGGGUUGUUUGUUUAUAUUUGUGAGUAUGUUUUAUGAGUAUAUCUGAAAUUGGUUUGAAGGUGAUCUCACUCACUGUAUAUUUGUUAUGUGAAUUACAGCCCCAUUGGGUUAUUACGUUUGGAUUUGGUUCCACAUUAAUGUGUAUAAAAGGUGAUAGUUAUCUGCUGCCAUGCUAAACGAGAGACUUCUGUGCCAGGUGACUUGAGGCGUCGGACUUGAGCCAACCCCUACACCACCGGACCGGUCAUCUCUUAUGGACUAUAAAUGAUGUAUUUGAUUUGCUUAUGAGAGCAGCAUUUGAUUCGGACAAGCGACUCGAGGAGAGCCAAGAGUGCAGUCCAGUGGCCACGUGGACCAAUCACUGUAGUCCAACAGAAAUUCCACGUCAGCCCACAGAUUUCCACGUAGGAUGCCAAGUGCGGUCCGCCUCGGAGGAGGAGGAAUAUUCACUCCCGCUUAAGGAAUUAUGCUCCUACUUAUGCGAAUAUGCUUUCUGCCAACCAUGAUUGAGCGUCAUGUACAUUGACAAUAUUGCCCCUGUCUGGCCCCCUGCCGCCCUCCUCCCUUUAAGCCGCAUCCCCGUCGAUUGACAUUUUUGCCCCUGAAGGUUUUACGGUGCGACAUUCUUUAAACAAUAUUUAAUUUAUUUGGAUAAUAGUCGAAAUUUUAUGUAACUAAAAAAAAUUGCAAUAAUACUAUAUUUUGGUGU